rnacentral:rRNA from 1 species
GACGAACGCUGGCGGCGUGCUUAACACAUGCAAGUCGAACGAGAGUUAGAUCGAAUGAGUUUUCGGACAAAUGAGAUUUAACGAAAGUGGCGAACGGGUGAGUAACACGUGAGCAACCUGCCUUACACAGGGGGAUAGCCAUUGGAAACGGUGAUUAAUACCCCAUAAGACCACAAUACCGCAUGGUAAAAGGGUAAAAGGGAUACCGGUGUAAGAUGGGCUCGCGUCUGAUUAGCUAGUUGGUGGGGCAAAGGCCUACCAAGGCGACGAUCAGUAGCCGGUCUGAGAGGAUGAACGGCCACAUUGGAACUGAGACACGGUCCAAACUCCUACGGGAGGCAGCAGUGGGGAAUAUUGCACAAUGGGGGAAACCCUGAUGCAGCGACGCCGCGUGAGCGAAGAAGGCUUUCGAGUCGUAAAGCUCUGUCCUAUGAGAAGAUAAUGACGGUAUCAUAGGAGGAAGCCCUGGCUAAAUACGUGCCAGCAGCCGCGGUAAUACGUAUGGGGCGAGCGUUGUCCGGAAUUAUUGGGCGUAAAGGGUACGUAGGCGGUUUUUUAAGUCAGGUGUCAAAGCGUGGAGCUUAACUCCAUUAAGCACUUGAAACUGAAAGACUUGAGUGAAGGAGAGGAAAGUGGAAUUCCUAGUGUAGCGGUGAAAUGCGUAGAUAUUAGGAGGAAUACCGGUGGCGAAGGCGACUUUCUGGACUUUUACUGACGCUCAGGUACGAAAGCGUGGGGAGCAAACAGG